AGAGCGAACGCUGGCGGCAGGCUUAACACAUGCAAGUCGAGCGGGCGUAGCAAUACGUCAGCGGCAGACGGGUGAGUAACGCGUGGGAACGUACCUUUUGGUUCGGAACAACACAGGGAAACUUGUGCUAAUACCGGAUAAGCCCUUACGGGGAAAGAUUUAUCGCCGAAAGAUCGGCCCGCGUCUGAUUAGCUAGUUGGUGAGGUAAUGGCUCACCAAGGCGACGAUCAGUAGCUGGUCUGAGAGGAUGAUCAGCCACAUUGGGACUGAGACACGGCCCAAACUCCUACGGGAGGCAGCAGUGGGGAAUAUUGGACAAUGGGCGCAAGCCUGAUCCAGCCAUGCCGCGUGAGUGAUGAAGGCCCUAGGGUUGUAAAGCUCUUUGUGCGGGAAGAUAAUGACGGUACCGCAAGAAUAAGCCCCGGCUAACUUCGUGCCAGCAGCCGC
rnacentral:rRNA from 1 species